rnacentral:rRNA from 1 species
AUUGAACGCUGGCGGCAGGCCUAACACAUGCAAGUCGAGCGGGGUUUUCGGACCUAGCGGCGGACGGGUGAGUAAUGCGUAGGAAGCUACCCGAUAGAGGGGGAUACCAGUUGGAAACGACUGUUAAUACCGCAUAAUGUCUACGGACCAAAGUGUGGGACCUUCGGGCCACAUGCUAUCGGAUGCGCCUACGUGGGAUUAGCUAGUUGGUGGGGUAAUGGCUCACCAAGGCGACGAUCCCUAGCUGGUUUGAGAGGAUGAUCAGCCACACUGGAACUGAGACACGGUCCAGACUCCUACGGGAGGCAGCAGUGGGGAAUAUUGGACAAUGGGCGCAAGCCUGAUCCAGCCAUGCCGCGUGUGUGAAGAAGGCCUCGGGUUGGUUAAGUACGACUUCUAGUCGAGGAGGAAGGUAGUAGU